rnacentral:misc_RNA from 1 species
CUUGACAAUGAAGUUGAAAAGACAGCAAAUCUUGUCAUUAGCAACUGGAAUCAGCAAAUUAA